UUUCACGGGAGGUGGUGGAGACUUGUAGUAGUAAGGUGGUGGUGGAGAUUUCUCGGGCGGGGGUGGAGACUUGUAGUAGUAAGGUGGGGGUAGAUGUUUUUCGGGUGGUGGGGGAGACUUAUAGUAGUAAGGUGGGGGUGGAGAUUUUUCAGGUGGUGGGGGAGACUUGUAGUAGUACGGUGGUGGUGGAGAUUUCUCGGGUGGUGGAGGAGACUUGUAGUAGUAAGGUGGAGGUGGUGAAGGAGAUGGUGGUGGGGGAGACUUGUAGUAGUAAUGUGGGGAUGGAUAUUUUUUAGGUGGCGGGGGGGACUUGUAGUAGUAUGGUGGAGGUGGAGACUUUUCGGGCGGUGGGGGAGACUUGUAGUAGUAUGGUGGGGGUGGAGACUUUUCGGGUGGUGGGGGAGACUUGUAGUAGUAAGGUGGGGGUGGUGGUGAUUUCUCAGGCGGUGGAGGAGACUCAUAGUAGUAAGGCGGAGGUGGAGACUUUUCGGGCGGUGGAGGAGACUUGUAAUAAUAAGGUGGUGGUGGAGAUUUUUCGGGUGGGGGAGGUGACUUGUACUCAUAAGGUGGUGGAGGAUAUUUUUCGGGUGGUGGAGGUGACUUGUACUCGUAAGGUGGUGGUGGAGAUUUUUCGGGUGGUGGAGGUGACUUGUACUCGUAAGGUGGUGGCGGAGAUUUUUCGGGUGGUGGAGGUGACUUGUACUCGUAAGGUGGUGGCGGAGAUUUUUCGGGUGGUGGAGGUGACUUGUACUCAUAAGGUGGUGGUGGAGAUUUUUCGGGUGGUGGAGGUGACUUGUACUCAUAAGGUGGAGAUUUUUCAGGUGGUGGUGGUGACUUAUACUCAUAAGGUGGAGAUUUUUCAGGUGGUGGUGGUGAUUUAUAUUCAUAAG
rnacentral:lncRNA from 1 species